rnacentral:misc_RNA from 1 species
AAAUGCGAUAAGUAAUGUGAAUUGCAGAAUUCAGUGAAUCAUCGAAUCUUUGAACGCACCUUGCGCUCCUUGGUAUUCCUUGGAGCAUGCCUGUUUGAGUAUCAUGAAAUCUUCAAAGUAAAUCUUUUGUUAACUCAAUUGGUUUCUACUUUGGUAUUGGAGGUCUUUGCAGCUUCACACCUGCUCCUCUUUGUUCAUUAGCUGGAUCUCAGUGUUAUGCUUGGUUCCACUCGGCGUGAUAAGUUAUUUAUCGCUGAGGACACUGUAAAAGGUGGCCAAGGUAAAUGCAGAUGAACCGCUUCUAAUAGUCCAUUGACUUGGACAAUACUUUUAUGAUCUGAUCUCAAAUCAGGUAGGACUACCCGCUGAACUUAAGC